AGAGUUUGAUCCUGGCUCAGGAUGAACGCUGGCGGCGUGCCUAAUACAUGCAAGUCGAGCGAACGGACGAGAAGCUUGCUUCUCUGAUGUUAGCGGCGGACGGGUGAGUAACACGUGGAUAACCUACCUAUAAGACUGGGAUAACUUCGGGAAACCGGAGCUAAUACCGGAUGAUAUUUUGAACCGCAUGGUUCAAAAGUGAAAGACGGUCUUGCUGUCACUUAUAGAUGGAUCCGCGCUGCAUUAGCUAGUUGGUAAGGUAACGGCUUACCAAGGCAACGAUGCAUAGCCGACCUGAGAGGGUGAUCGGCCACACUGGAACUGAGACACGGUCCAGACUCCUACGGGAGGCAGCAGUAGGGAAUCUUCCGCAAUGGGCGAAAGCCUGACGGAGCAACGCCGCGUGAGUGAUGAAGGUCUUCGGAUCGUAAAACUCUGUUAUUAGGGAAGAACAUAUGUGUAAGUAACUGUGCACAUCUUGACGGUACCUAAUCAGAAAGCCACGGCUAACUACGUGCCAGCAGCCGCGGUAAUACGUAGGUGGCAAGCGUUAUCCGGAAUUAUUGGGCGUAAAGCGCGCGUAGGCGGUUUUUUAAGUCUGAUGUGAAAGCCCACGGCUCAACCGUGGAGGGUCAUUGGAAACUGGAAAACUUGAGUGCAGAAGAGGAAAGUGGAAUUCCAUGUGUAGCGGUGAAAUGCGCAGAGAUAUGGAGGAACACCAGUGGCGAAGGCGACUUUCUGGUCUGUAACUGACGCUGAUGUGCGAAAGCGUGGGGAUCAAACAGGAUUAGAUACCCUGGUAGUCCACGCCGUAAACGAUGAGUGCUAAGUGUUAGGGGGUUUCCGCCCCUUAGUGCUGCAGCUAACGCAUUAAGCACUCCGCCUGGGGAGUACGACCGCAAGGUUGAAACUCAAAGGAAUUGACGGGGACCCGCACAAGCGGUGGAGCAUGUGGUUUAAUUCGAAGCAACGCGAAGAACCUUACCAAAUCUUGACAUCCUUUGACAACUCUAGAGAUAGAGCCUUCCCCUUCGGGGGACAAAGUGACAGGUGGUGCAUGGUUGUCGUCAGCUCGUGUCGUGAGAUGUUGGGUUAAGUCCCGCAACGAGCGCAACCCUUGGAGCAUGUGGUUUAAUUCGAAGCAACGCGAAGAACCUUACCAAAUCUUGACAUCCUUUGACAACUCUAGAGAUAGAGCUUUCCCCUUCGGGGG
rnacentral:rRNA from 1 species